rnacentral:rRNA from 1 species
UCCAACUUGAGAGUUUGAUCCUGGCUCAGAGCGAACGCUGGCGGCAGGCCUAACACAUGCAAGUCGAGCGCCGUAGCAAUACGGAGCGGCAGACGGGAGAGUAACACGUGGGAACGUACCCUUUGGUUCGGAACAACCCAGGGAAACUUGGGCUAAUACCGGAUAAGCCCUUACGGGGAAAGAUUUAUCGCCGAAGGAUCGGCCCGCGUCUGAUUAGCUAGUUGGUGGGGUAAUGGCCCACCAAGGCGACGAUCAGUAGCUGGUCUGAGAGGAUGAUCAGCCUCACUGGGACUGAGACACGGCCCAGACUCCUACGGGAGGCAGCAGUGGGGAAUAUUGGACAAUGGGCGCAAGCCUGAUCCAGCCAUGCCGCGUGGGUGAUGAAGGCCCUAGGGUUGUAAAGCCCUUUCGGCGGGGAAGAUAAUGACGGUACCCGCAGAAGAAGCCCCGGCUAACUUCGUGCCAGCAGCCGCGGUAAUACGAAGGGGGCUAGCGUUGCUCGGAAUCACUGGGCGUAAAGCGCACGUAGGCGGAUUGCUAAGUCAGGGGUGAAAUCCUGGAG